rnacentral:rRNA from 1 species
CCUACGGGAGGCUGCAGUAGGGAAUAUUGCUCAAUGGGGGAAACCCUGAAGCAGCAACGCCGCGUGGAGGAUGAAGGUCUUCGGAUUGUAAACUUCUUUUGUUAGAGAAGUUAAUGACGGUAUCUAACGAAUAAGCACCGGCUAACACCGUGCCAGCAGCCGCGGUACUACGGAGGGUGCAAGCGUUACUCGGAAUCACUGGGCGUAAAGAGCGCGUAGGCGGGAUAGCAAGUCAGAUGUGAAAUCCUAUGGCUUAACCAUAGAACUGCAUUUGAAACUGUUAUUCUAGAGUAUGGGAGAGGUAGGUGGAAUUCUUGGUGUAGAGGUGAAAUGCGUAGAGAUCAAGAAGAAUACUGAUUGCGAAGGCGGCCUGCUAGAACAUAACUGACGCUGAUGCGCGAAAGCGUGGGGAGCAAACAGGAUUAGAUACCCUUGUAGUC